UCAAACAGAACCUCCAAGGCCUCCUCUCCUAGUUCCCUACGCUCACCGUAAACCUUGCCCGCCAAAGCACUGGCGAUGACCUUGACCAGAGCCGCAGGCGACCACGUGAACGAGCUCCCCUAGCCACAUGAAUCUCUCUAUUCACGUUUUGCAGCUAGAGCCCCCUGAGAAACAUGAAACCCACACCUAGUUUAUGUAUCUUAGGGAUCUUUCUCAUAACCCCCUAAACAGAUCCUAGUAACCACAACCCAAUCCAAGUCCUCCACUUCUCCAAAUCUAACCCUGGACAUCCACUAAAUCUCUCAAUCUCUGUUCACCGAGUCUUGCUAACCUUCUCAGCUAGCACCUGCUAUUUAAGUUUAACAAUGUUUAGGUCCUGUUGCACUCUAUA
rnacentral:lncRNA from 1 species